AUGACUGAGUGGAGGACAACCAAAGCAAAUGAAAGGAGGAGGAGUGGGGGAGAUGGAGGACAGGAUAGAAAGAGGGAAAGGAGAGGGGAUGAGAGAAAGCCAGAAGAGGAGUUAGAAAGAUCAGUCUUGUUCCCUGGCAGUGUCUCGGGGAGAGAGAGAUCAGCCUUGUUCCCUGGCAGUGUCUCGGGGAGAGGGAGAUCAGCCUUGUUCCCUGGCAGUGUCUCAGGAGAGGAGAGAGAGAAAGAUCAGCCUGGUUCCCUGGCAGUGUCUCGGGAUAGGAAAGAGAGAGAAAGAUCAGCCUUGUUCCCUGGCAGUGUCUCGGGAGAGGAGAGAGAGAAAGAUCAGCCUGGUUGCCUGGCAGUGUCUCGGGAGAGGAGAGAGAGAAAGAUCAGCCUUGUUCCCUGGCAGUGUCUCGGGAGAGGAGAGAGAGAAAUAUCAGCCUGGGUCCCUGGCAGUGUCUCGGGAGAGGAGAGAGAGAAAGAUCAGCCUGGUUCCCUGGCAGUGUCUCGGGAGAGGAGAGAGAGAAAGAUCAGCCUUGUUCCCUGGCAGUGUCUCGGGAGAGGAGAGAGAGAAAGAUCAGCCUUGUUCCCUGGCAGUGUCUCGGGAGAGGAGAGAGAGAAAGAUCAGCCUUGUUCCCUGGCAGUGUCUCGGGAGAGGAGAGAGAGAAAGAUCAGCCUUGUUCCCUGGCAGUGUCUCGGGGAGAGGAGAGAGAGAAAGAUCAGCCUUGUUCCCUGGCUGUGUCUCGGGAGAGGAGAGAGAGAAAGAUCAGCCUUGUUCCCUGGCAGUGUCUCGGGAGAGGAGAGAGCGAGAGAGCAGCCUUGUUCCCUGGCAGUGUCUCGGGGAGAGGAGAGAAAGAUCAGCCUGGUUCCCUGGCAGUGUCUUGGGAGAGGAGAGAGAGAAAGAUCAGCCUUGUUCCCUGGCAGUGUCUUGGGGAGAGGAGAGAGAGAAAGAUCAGCCUUGUUCCCUGGCAGUGUCUUGGGGAGAGAAGAGAGUGAGCAGCCUUGUUCCCUGGCAGUGUCUCGGGGAGAGGAGAGAGUGAGCAGCCUUGUUCCCUGGCAGUGUAUCGGGGAGAGGAGAGAAAGAUCAGCCUUGUUCCCUGGCAGUGUCUCGGGAGAGGAGAGAGAGAAAGAUCAGCCUUGUUCCCUGGCUGUGUCUCGGGGAGAGGAGAGAGAGAAAGAUCAGCCUUGUUCCCUGGCAGUGUCUCGGGGAGAGGAGAGAGUGAGCAGCCUUGUUCCCUGA
rnacentral:lncRNA from 1 species